rnacentral:lncRNA from 1 species
AAUGAUAGUGGAUGUGUGUUUCAUACAGUUCGUAUAUGUGUCAUUAGGGUUUCGGGAGCUCGAUAGUUCGAGGGAUUUUUGCGUUGCAUUUGGUCGGUCAAAUUGAUUGGAGCGCGAACUAGUAGGCUUUCGCAUUAGAGCUAGAUGAUCCAAUUUUUGCCCAGUCUAUUGAGGCUUAGGCUGUGGUGGUUUGAUCCAGAUCGAGGUGAGAUGUCUCUUCUGUUGAGGAAUAUACAUCGUGAGGUGGAAAUUUC